CAUAGGGUCUUGGCACAGUGGUAGCACACAUGCCUCGCACCUUCGCAUGGGGUCAUGAGUUCAAUCCUCAGUCUCCGUUUGU